CAUGUUUCCACUCCUUCGCUCAGAGCCAUGGUUCUAGGCUGUGAAGUCCAAGAUAAAGGUAACAUCAGGCUCAGUGUCUUGUGAGGGCUCUGGUCUCCAAUUCCAAGAUGGUGCCUUGUUCCUUCGUCCUCCAGUGGGGCAAACACUGUGUCCUCACAUGCCUAAAGGCAGAAGAGCAAAAGGGGCAGAAGAGUCACAAGCCAUGCCUGAGGGCAAUUCCAAGGCCGAAGCUAUGGAUGAGAGGGUGAUCUGACAGGGACAGCUGUCAUCAGUCAUCCUGUUGACCUUCGAGGUUAAUUCACCUGAUCUGGCUGGCUGACUGAGGGUCAUCUCCAUCCGCCCUCACUACCCCAUGGGCAUCCCUUUUGAAACUCUUUGAAUGAUAAUAAAAAUAAGGAGAAGAGAG
rnacentral:lncRNA from 10 species